rnacentral:rRNA from 1 species
ACACGACUACAUUAGAUACCCGGGUAGUCCUAGCCGUAAACGAUACUCGCUAGGUGUCGGCCACGGUGCGACCGUUGUCGGUGCCGUAGGGAAGCCGUGAAGCGAGCCACCUGGGAAGUACGGCCGCAAGGGCUGAAACUUAAAGGAAUUGGCGGGGGAGCACCACAACGGGUGGAGCUUGCGGUUUAAUUGGAUUCAACGCCGGAAAUCUUACCGGGACCGACAGCAACAUGAAGGCCAGGCUGAAGACUUUGCCGGAUUAGCUG